UAGCAUUAAAGAAACUAUUGCAUUGAUCCUACAAGAACAAUACUAACAUAACAACUUUUAGGUUUAAAUGUGUUUAAUGAAUUUAUUUCAAUCUUGAUCAUCAAUUUCGUCGUCUGUUGAAACCUUUAAGAUUUUUUCUCAGUUCCUAUUAUUUAUAAAGGGACGUAACACCACUAGUAACUGUUUAUGAAUAAGCCACGCCUCCCUACUACCUAAUAUGGAAUAUAAUGGGACGUAACUCCAAUACUUACUGUGUAUGAAAUAAGCCCCGCCUCCCUACUAACCUAAUAUCAAAUAUACACGGUCUUCAAGCUGACGCUUAUAACCAAUCACAUUCCUAGAAAUGUAUAGGAGGUAAGAUAAAUUAAGAUAUUAUCAUUACUUUGCAUCCAUUGUUGUCUAGCCCCUUUCCUUAAAUAACUGAAUUAAGUCAUAGCACACUGUAACGAAUAUAUCUUACUGACUAUCUUAAUG
rnacentral:lncRNA from 1 species